rnacentral:RNase_P_RNA from 1 species
UCAGACGGCCGGGCGGUCGCGGCCCCUUCGGGGGUCGAGGAAAGUCCGGGCUCCACGACGACAUGGCGGCGGGUAACGCCCGCCGGGGGUAACCCUAGGGAUAGCGCCACAGAGAGCAGACCGCCCGCCUUCGCCCUUCGGGACGACGGCGCGGGUAAGGGUGAAAGGGUGCGGUAAGAGCGCACCGGGUCGCUGGUAACAGGGAUCGCAUGGCAAGCCCCGCCAGGAGCAAGACCGAAUAGGGAUCCCGCGCCGGAGCAAUCCGGUAGGGCCGUCGCCGGCCUGAGGGCUCCGGGUAGGUCGCGAGAACCGGCCCGCGAGGGUCGGUCCAGAGGAAUGACCGCCGCGUCCCGCAAGGGGCGGCACAGAACCCGGCUUACAGGCCGUCUGAUCUU